GUAGCACCAAUGGUUCAGUGGUA
rnacentral:siRNA from 1 species